rnacentral:rRNA from 1 species
UAAUACGUAGGGGGCGAGCGUUGUCCGGAUUUACUGGGCGUAAAGAGCGCGUAGGCGGUCUUGUAGGUUGGUUGUGAAAGGUGCGGGCUUAACCCGCAACGGUCAACCAAAACCACUCGACUUCGAGGGCAGUAGAGGAAGGUGGAAUUCCGGGUGUAGUGGUGAAAUGCGUAGAGAUCCGGAGGAACACCGGCGGCGAAGGCGGCCUUCUGGGCUGGCCCUGACGCUGAGGCGCGAAAGCGUGGGGAGCGAACUGAAUUAGAUACUCAGGUAGUCCACGCCCUCAAUCAUGGACACUAGGUGUGGGGGGUAUCGACCCCUCCCGUGCCGGCGCUAACGCAGUAAGUGUCCCGCCUGGGGAGUACGGCCGCAAGGCUA